AUGUUUAUUUUUGAAGCACUCCUGCAAACGCGGAUUUUCCAUGGGCUUCCCAGCGUCAGGGCCGACCUUCAGACAGACCUGUCCUGAGAGGCAGUUGCAGCAGUCACGUGGGAGAAGCCACCUCCAGGCAGAGCCUCCUGAGAAGCUGCUGAAAGGCUGGCCACAUCGGGAAAGGCAGCUCCUAAAAUAAGGGGAAGGAGCACAGGCUCCAGCGGAGCCGGGGUAGGCAGCACUUCCCUCUGGAGGGCACUGGCCGCCUCCAGGCUGUCUCCAGACACCCCUCUCACCUGCACGCUGCACCUCACCCGGGAGCUUCUCUGCAAAUAUCUGGCCUAAAGAGGGUAGGAAGGUGGGAGGAGGGGAGGGUGAGCUUUCAGGAUGGUGUGGAGCUCUCCUGCCGUGGAAGUAUCUUUCAUGAACACGCCCCAGUUUUCUGACAGAGAUUGCCACCAACUUCCCCCGACUGUCCUGAGCUCAUCUGGAUCUUUCUGCCUCUGAAAAGAUGCUGAAAUCCCAGAGUCACUUCCUAGCCUGGUUGUAAAUUCUGUCUCUUCCUGUGAAUUUGUUAAAACACCCCAGGAAAGAGUUUCCAAAUACAGCCAGCCUUGCGUGGUUAUGCCUGAUUUCUGGGAUAAUCCUCUGAGGUUCUCCUGGUGCGCAUGCAUCACACAGAAGGUCCACAUGGAACCUGCCCUUUGAGACCAGGCAUCUUGAUGCAUAAAACUCAUGCCACUUUCCUCAGAAUGCGCACCCACAAACACGUGGAGGGACAUGAAGGCAUGGACGUCCUCCCGCGUGCGAGCCGGUGCAGAGCUGGGGGUGGCAUCACACAGACCCAGGCUGGAGUCCUCCAGGCUCGGCCACUCCUAGCUGUGUGACUUUGGGCAGGGAAACAGGGCAGGCAAGGAGCUCUCUUGCACUUGCUUCUUAAUUGUCUUCAGCCCAACAAUCCUUCAUAUUUCGGGGAGGCACAUUCUGGUCUCCAAAAACAGCUAUAAGACACAGCAGCUAUACACGCAGCCACACUAAAUCUGUUUGGGUUAUCAUCCAUAGAAAUAAGCUGAGAGAUCUCUUAGCCUCUUCUAGCAAAAGGAGUGCUCGCCUGCCUUCUUAGGAUGUAAGUUAACGAGUGAGGACUUGGCUCCAGAGCCUAGGACAGGCCCUAGCACACAGCGAGACCACGGCGGACGUCUGCUGAAUGAACAGGGAAUAAACAAAUACGCAGAGAAACACAUGCGGGGUCUGAAAGUGCGCUGGAGCCUGGAACCCGAGGCCCCUCAGGUGACGAACUGGCCGCUCACGCACGACACACUGGCUUCGAGGUCAGCAGACACACGCACGUCAGAACCAGGAGGUCUUUCUCUGAAGGGCCACAGGCCGCAGCGACCAGGCUCCGAUAGAGGAGACCAUGCAGCACAGAGCAGCAAACUCAGAAGCCAGCAGAGGCGGGUGGGGGCGGACACGGGCUCCACCACCGAUAGGGGACCCUCGUGUGACUCUGACUCUCAGCAAGUUCUUCCAACUCCCUUGCCUCAGUUUCCAGAAGUUUAGAUGGAGACAGCCUCAGAGGCUGCUCGCCGGGCAGCUGUGAUGAGGACUGGAAAAGCUGCCACACACCUGGGGCCCCCGGUUGUGCUGGCGACUCACGCCACACUGCUUUAUCACCAACUGCAAGUCUGCAGCCACGCACAUAGGAACGACGGCGGGGUGCUGAGUCCUGCAGGAUAAACAGAUCCAAGGAGGCACCCCUGCCAGAGGAGGCACUCCAGGCACCCCACCAGAACCAGGGGCUGCGAGGAACCGAAGGGCCGUGUGGGCAAUGGAGCUGGAGCAACAGACUCUCAAGGAAAGCUAAGGAGGAAUGGCAGACUGGACAGAGGGAGGUGCACCUGCCAAACUACGACACGUCUGGAAAAGAGGCAUCGACGGGGACUGAGCCUCAUCCCAGUCAUGUGGCCGCAGUGACGUUGCCCCCAUAGGUACUGAGCUGUCUGAGACGACUCCUACACAAGAGCAAAUGCCAACACCAGAAAGGACGGCCGAGGGGCACUGGCCAGGUACACGCUCAGCCUCACUGUGGCCUCUUCCUCACUCUGCGCCUGGGAGCCUGCCUUCAACGAACGGAAGCUGCCCUCCAAUCAACCUGUGCCCCUGCAUCUCUGCAGAGCGAAGGCUUCCUUUAGAGACAUCCAGACACAUGUAUUUUCUUUUUCUUUGAGAUGGAGUCUCACUCUGUCACCAGGCUGAAGUGCAGUGGCCUGAUCUCAGCUCACUCACUGCAACCUCUGCUUCCUGGGUUCAAGCGAUUCUCCUGCCUCACCCUCCUGAGCAGCUAGGACUACAGGCGUGUGCCACCACGCCCAGCUAAUUUUUGUAUUUUUAGUAGAGGUGGGGUUUCACCAUGUUGGCCAGGAUGGUCUUGAUCUCUUGACUUCGUGAUCCGCCCACCUCAGCCUCCCAAAGUGCUGGGAUUACAGGCGUGGGCCACCGUGCCCAGCCCACAUUUUCUUUAGGAUGCUAGGAGGUGCCUAGCCAUGAGGAGGUGGAGUGAGUGCCACAGAUGUUACAGCUCCGUGCUCUGCUGCGCAGGCCUUUGUUCUGAUGACAAAGACCAGGGUUUGGGAACCACUGUGAAGGAAAUGGAAGAUCUCCGUGCCGUGUGCAGGUUCCCUGGGGUGACCUCUGAACCUCUCACAUUCCCCCUUGGCUGCACGUCUGCAAUUUCAUCUCAGAACUGAGCCUCCUCCAUGCCUGCGGACCCGGAUGAGCUACGGGGGUCUUGCUGGGGUGUGCAUUGAACACAAAGGGGACCCGGUGCCCGUGUUCCCUCUGCACGUGGGGGCACCUGAAUGAGAGGUGCCCGGGCAUAAGGACCCCAGUGCAGCUCCGUGUGCCCUGGUGUGGGGUGCACGGGAACAGUGAGGAGGCUGUGCUCGGGCAGGCAGGGGCGCUCUUCUGCUAGGUGGCGGCAGUGCCACGUUUCCGCCAGUUACUCACAUCCCCCUCGCUCGGCGAUCUCUCGGGUUUUGUUUCUACCACUUCAUUUCUAAGUCAGCGUCUAGUGCCUCGUUACUCAUCUCAGCAGUGACUGGCAGACGUUAAUGAAUUACUGAUUUUCACCUUCACCCGCCAAUAUUGUAUAUUUAUGUUGGAAAGAAAGGUACUUUUUGAAUC